rnacentral:tRNA from 4 species
AGGGUUGUAGUUAAUUAUAACGUUUGGGUUGCAUUCAAAAAGUAUUGGCUAAAUCAAUCAACCUUA